UCCGAAUUGGUGUAGUGGCUAACAUUUGACGCUCUCAUUCUUACAACCAAGAGGGGUUGCCGUCAAGCCCGGGGUUCGAUUCCCCGAUUCGGAG